UUGACAGCCAAGUUGUUGACAAUUUGCUUCCACGGUGAAAAUCUCCUUGUCCUUAUUGGUGUCGCAGGGGAAAAGAAAGUAUUUCAACGGAGUGCAUGGGACGUGAUGCAGCUCAACACAGAUUGUAAUGGAGGACGAUGCUAAGGAGAGGAGGAUGGAACAUGCUGACAGUCACGGUGUGCGGCCUCACCAUGGAAAAUUACAUUGAAAGUUCCUGCUGAAUGGGCCAUGCUAAACGUACAGCUCAGCUACAGCACGACGAUGAACAGCCACAUUACAGGUGUAACUAAAGAACCAAUGUGACCGCAACAAAGAGCUGCACCGUGGAUUGCUUGGCCCAAAGCCUAUUCAGCUGCUGACAGCCUUGGCUGGACCCUGGACAAUGUCAUUCAUCUUCCACUCCCCCCCCCCAAAACUUAUGCAUCACGAUUCAAUGCGCAUCACGAUACACAUGCCACAAUGCCAUACGAUCUCGAUGCAUUGCGAUACAUGUAUUCUUGCAAUGCAUUGUGAUAUUUACUUAAUUCAUUUUUUUUACCUUUACCAACAUUAUACAAUAAAAAUAAAAACCAUGAUAGUUCAUUCGUAGAAAAGGGUGCAAAAGGUUAAUAAUAACGUUUCAAAAUAAUAAUGAUGAUUUGAAGCCUGGGAGCACUAUCACAAUAUCAUGUGGUUGUUUUCUUGACUGAAGGGUAACAGAACUUUGAAAGGACACACCACGAUACUGCGCCCUUGCAUAGCGCUUCAGUAUCAUGAAUGUGUGAUUCAAUAUCUUCAGUCUACCUGCAAGCGUCAUUUAGUUAAGAAAAUUAGGAUUCCAGUCUCUUCUAUUAAAUGAUUUACCUCUGCCUCAAGGUUAACCAAACCUGGUUUACUACUGUGCCAGCUUCUUAGUAUACCCACCUGUUGUAGAGUCAGCACUGUUGAUGUUCUUUGACUGAAGAUUCCAAAACGUGUGUGUGUGUGUGUGUGUGUGUGUGUGUGUGUGUGUGUGUGUGUGUGUGUGUGUGUGUGUGUGUGUGAGAGAGAGAUACACAAGUAACAACUCCAGUAGAACACCUUUUCCUCCAUGUUGGACUAUUAUUGAAGGAAUACUCUAUGCACUGCAACAUUGGAGAAAUUUAAGGACACUGGGAUGACCAUGAGGUCUACCCCCAAGUUAUUUGAUCUUAACACUUUUGUGUUGUCGGUUUACUGUGUACUGUACAGUAUUGUGGAUGGGAGCUUUUUCUCUUGCAAUAUUAUAACUUGUGUUUGCUGCUGUACACCAUUAUUUCCUUCUGCAUUAUUAAAGUUAAUCGAAUCUAUUCUA